UACGGAGGGGACUAGCGUUGUUCGGAAUUACUGGGCGUAAAGCGCACGUAGGCGGAUAUUUAAGUUAGGGGUGAAAUCCCAGGGCUCAACCCUGGAACUGCCUUUAAUACUGGGUAUCUCGAGUCCGAGAGAGGUGAGUGGAAUUCCGAGUGUAGAGGUGAAAUUCGUAGAUAUUCGGAGGAACACCAGUGGCGAAGGCGGCUCACUGGCUCGGUACUGACGCUGAGGUGCGAAAGCGUGGGGAGCAAACAGG
rnacentral:rRNA from 1 species